UAAAGCGUGCGCAGGCGGUUUUGUAAGACUGUCGUGAAAUCCCCGGGCUCAACCUGGGAAUGGCGAUGGUGACUGCAAGGCUAGAGUUUGGCAGAGGGGGGUAGAAUUCCACGUGUAGCAGUGAAAUGCGUAGAUAUGUGGAGGAACACCGAUGGCGAAGGCAGCCCCCUGGGUCAAAACUGACGCUCAUGCACGAAAGCGUGGGGAGCAAACAGGAUUAGAAACCGAGU
rnacentral:rRNA from 1 species